rnacentral:rRNA from 1 species
GACGAACGCUGGCGGCGUGCUUAACACAUGCAAGUCGAACGGAAAGGCCCCAGCUUGCUGGGGUACUCGAGUGGCGAACGGGUGAGUAACACGUGGGUGAUCUGCCCUGCACUCUGGGAUAAGCCUGGGAAACUGGGUCUAAUACCGGAUAGGACCGUGCUUUAGUGUGUGCGGUGGAAAGUUUUUCGGUGCAGGAUGAGCCCGCGGCCUAUCAGCUUGUUGGUGGGGUAAUGGCCUACCAAGGCGGCGACGGGUAGCCGGCCUGAGAGGGUGUACGGCCACAUUGGGACUGAGACACGGCCCAGACUCCUACGGGAGGCAGCAGUGGGGAAUAUUGCACAAUGGGCGCAAGCCUGAUGCAGCGACGCCGCGUGGGGGAUGACGGCCUUCGGGUUGUAAACCCCUUUCGGCAGGGACGAAGCUUUUGUGACGGUACCUGCAUAAGAAGCACCGGCUAACUACGCG